rnacentral:rRNA from 1 species
CUACGGGGCGCAGCAGUGAGGAAUUUUGCGCAAUGGGGAGAACCCUGACGCAGCAACGCCGCGUGAGUGAUGAAGGCUUUCGGGUCGUAAAGCUCUGUCAAGUGGGAAGAACCUAUGCAGUGUUAAUAUCACUGUAUACUGACGGUACCACUGAAGGAAGCACCGGCUAACUCCGUGCCAGCAGCCGCGGUAAUACGGGGGGUGCAAGCGUUAUUCGGAAUCAUUGGGCGUAAAGGGCACGUAGGCGGCUUGGUAAGUCAGAGGUGAAAGCCCGGGGCUUAACCCCGGAAGUGCAUUUGGUACUGUCAGGCUUGAGUAUGGGAGAGGGAAGUGGAAUUCCUGGUGUAGAGGUGAAAUUCGUAGAUAUCAGGAGGAACACCGGUGGCGAAGGCGACUUCCUGGACCAAUACUGACGCUGAGGUGCGAAGGCGUGGGUAGCAAACAGGAUUAGAUACCCCCGUAGUC